rnacentral:rRNA from 1 species
UACGAAGGGGGCAAGCGUUGUUCGGAAUUACUGGGCGUAAAGGGCGCGUAGGCGGCUUAUCAAGUCAGGCGUGAAAUUCCCGGGCUCAACCUGGGGGCUGCGCUUGAUACUGAUUGGCUUGAAUGCGGGAGAGGAUAGUGGAAUUCCCAGUGUAGAGGUGAAAUUCGUAGAUAUUCGCAAGAACACCAGUGGCGAAGGCGGCUCACUGGCCCGGUACUGACGCUGAGGUGCGAAAGCGUGGGGAGCAAACAGG